rnacentral:lncRNA from 1 species
UUCUCUCUCCUCUCUCUUUCCUGUGGCAAUCGUAGGAGCCUAAAUAGGGGUUCCCCAUGGCUUAAAAGAAAACAAAGGGUAGGGGGUGGGGGGGAGGAGGGUGGUUCGGUGGUGGCACAAGCGGGCAUGGCCGGGCAAUGGUGGUGCAGCUGGAGCAGCUACGGUUAGUGGUGGGGAAGAGAAGAGGGAAAGGGCAAUC